AAGACAUUAGUAAAAUGCUAAAUACAUCACCUUGUCAAGGUGAAAAUGAAGGUUAAACUCCUGCAUGUCUUA
rnacentral:tRNA from 1 species